GAUGAACGCUGGCGGCGUGCCUAAUACAUGCAAGUCGAGCGAACAGACGAGGAGCUUGCUCCUUCGACGUUAGCGGCGGACGGGUGAGUAACACGUAGGUAACCUACCUAUAAGACUGGGAUAACUUCGGGAAACCGGAGCUAAUACCGGAUAAUAUUUCGAACCGCAUGGUUCGAUAGUGAAAGAUGGCUUUGCUAUCACUUAUAGAUGGAUCUGCGCCGUAUUAGCUAGUUGGUAAGGUAACGGCUUACCAAGGCAACGAUACGUAGCCGACCUGAGAGGGUGAUCGGCCACACUGGAACUGAGACACGGUCCAGACUCCUACGGGAGGCAGCAGUAGGGAAUCUUCCGCAAAGGGCGAAAGCCUGACGGAGCAACGCCGCGUGAGUGAUGAAGGUCUUCGGAUCGUAAAACUCUGUUAUUAGGGAAGAACAAACGUGUAAGUAACUGUGCACGUCUUGACGGUACCUAAUCAGAAAGCCACGGCUAACUACGUG
rnacentral:rRNA from 1 species